AGGUAAUCUAUGCCUGGGAUAAGAAAAUUCUUAGUUUUUCGAAAAUUCAAAGUUUUGUAGACAGUAAAUUUAUAAAAAUGACCACAUUAUUGAUAUUCAUGUCAACACCGAAGUGUUGACUACUGGGCUGGUGAUACCCUCGGGGACGAAACGUCCACCAGCAGUGGCAUCGACCCAGUGGUGUAAAUAGUUAUCAAAGGUACCAGGAUUAUAAUUUAGUA
rnacentral:lncRNA from 1 species